AUAAAUAAUAAUGAUUUACUAAUUGUAUUGUUGUAUGUCUACUAUAUAUAAAAAUAAUAUUAUUUUAAUAUUAUAGCACUUGCUAAUAUCGAUACGACAAGUAAGUACAGUUUGUAUAACUCUUACUUUUUAACGGAUGUCUUAGUAUUUUUAUUUAUAACAAAAAAACAAUAAAAAAUAAAAUGGCAGGUUAUAUUUUUUAAUUUUUUAAUCGAAAAUCUUUAUAAAGUUUUAAAUAUAAUAAUUUUCGGCAAUCUUAUUAUAGCAUUGUGCACUCUACAUUUCCAUCGAGCCUAUUUCUGCUUAAAUGAUAAAUAAUAUUUUAUUUAAAUAGAAAAAUAUCGAUUACCUAACUUUUAGGUAUUUAUUGCUUAUGGGUAGUAUUAUUAAAUGGUAUUAACUAUAUUAAAAGAGUAUAAAUACAUGAUUACAUUUUAUAGGUGACGCAUAUGAUUAUGUUGAGCAACUGAUGACUUUUGCGGAUUUCGAUGGUACUUUUACGUGAAUUAAUAAUAAUAAUAAUAAUUUUAGAAGACUAUUGUUUUUCUCACUUAAACUCUUAAAAGUUUUAUCGGACUCAAAAUGCUAAAAUAAUAAUGGUAAUAUAAUUGCUAUAAUCUGUAAUAGACUUACCUAAGUUAUAGCAACUUAAUAAUAAAAUAAUUUUUAGAUUCGGAGAAUAGCAAGUUAUCUAUUGGUUUUAAUUUGAUAUUGGGUUUUUUUUUUUUUUGUCAGCAAAGAACUUUUUGAAAAGAAAUCUCGCUCUUAUCUAUAGAAUACAGUACCUGAUCUGAAAAAAAAAUUGUUCAAGGGGUUUUUGAAAUAAUUGGGAAAACCCCGAAAAAAAUAGGGGAAACGGCAAAUACUUAAGGUCCAUGCACCACGUGAUCGAUUUAAAUAUUACUCCAAUCGAAAAAUGGAAGGAGAUCGAUUUUGUUCCUUUUAAUAUAUAGCAAUUUAAAAUAAGUCGUUUAAUAAUGAGUGUGGGUCUAUCAACUGACAACCAUUCGACCAACAGGAUGACCGACAAUAAUUUAUAAUGCCAUGCAAUUUAUAUUUUUAUUUUAAAAAUCGAUUUUAUCUAUCAAAGGAAAAUAUAAGAUUUCUAAUAGAAUAAUAUAUAAAGUAUUAAAUUAUAAUGAUACGAAAUUUAUGUUUUUAUUUUUAAUAUAGGUAUAUUGUAUAAAAAUAUAUUCUAUACUCCCUUAAAUACCGCCUCAGACCAAUUUACUUUUAGAAAUAAAACCUUGAAAAUCGGAGAAAAAUUUUUUGUUAGAAAAAUUUCUUAUAGAAAAAAAUGUAAAACCAAGACAUUUGUCGCAGUGCCCAUAAUCUUUAAAAUUCAAGAAUAACAAUUAUUGUAAUAAUUUUUUCAUAGAAUUCACUUAUUUUUAACUUUAGGAAGUUAUUUUAUUUAUAUUCUUAUUUUAUAUUAAUAUUCAGUAUCAAUAUUGGUAUAAUAUACUGUUACAUUAAUGCAUACAAUUAAAAUGUAAUUAAAUAUUCAAAUAAUUCUAUAUUCUUUUUUGUAGAGAAUAAUGUCGAAAAGUCACAUCCAAAACAAUUUUGUGAAAGACUGGAAGCGAAUAUUGACAAACCACUUUCAUCCAUACUCCCAGAUGAGAAACCUGAUAAAAUCUGACAAAAAAAAAUGUAUAUUGUAUGUUAAAUUUUAAUCUGCCUAUUUUUCUGUUAGUAGAUUA